rnacentral:rRNA from 1 species
AUUGAACACUGGCGGCAUGCCUUACACAUGCAAGUCGAACGGUAACGGGCCUUCGGGUGCCGACGAGUGGCGAACGGGUGAGUAAUACAUCGGAACGUGCCCGAUCGUGGGGGAUAACGAGGCGAAAGCUUUGCUAAUACCGCAUACGAUCUACGGAUGAAAGCAGGGGACCGCAAGGCCUUGCGCGGACGGAGCGGCCGAUGGCAGAUUAGGUAGUUGGUGGGAUAAAAGCUUACCAAGCCGACGAUCUGUAGCUGGUCUGAGAGGAUGAUCAGCCACACUGGGACUGAGACACGGCCCAGACUCCUACGGGAGGCAGCAGUGGGGAAUUUUGGACAAUGGGCGCAAGCCUGAUCCAGCCAUGCCGCGUGCAGGAUGAAGGCCUUCGGGUUGUAAACUGCUUUUGUACGGAACGAAAAGCCUUCUUUUAAUACAGGAGGGUCAUGACGGUACCGGAAGAAUAAGCACCGGCUAACUACGUG